rnacentral:sRNA from 1 species
UGCAACCGGAAUGCGAAUAUUGCGAUGUG